AGAAGGAACAACCACAGUGGCAGUAGCCAUCUCUAGAGCCCUGGAUUCAGCUCCCGCAGUAACUAAGGAGCUCUCCAUCUGCAGGGGCCUGGAUGCUUUGGGGCGGG
rnacentral:pre_miRNA from 1 species